GAUGAACGCUGGCGGCGCGCCUAACACAUGCAAGUCGAACGAUUAAAGCACCUUCGGGUGUGUAUAAAGUGGCGAACGGCUGAGUAACACGUGGGCAACCUGCCCCUCUCAUUGGGAUAGCCACGGGAAACCGUGGAUAAUACCGAAUACUUCGGGACUUCCGCAUGGAAGACUCGAGAAAGCUCCGGCGGAGAGGGAUGGGCCCGCGGCCUGUUAGCUUGUUGGUGGGGUAAUGGCCUACCAAGGCAAUGAUGGGUAGCUGGGGUGAGAGACCGACCAGCCAGAUUGGGACUGAGACACGGCCCAGACUCCUACGGGAGGCAGCAGUGGGGAAUCUUGCACAAUGGGCGAAAGCCUGAUGCAGCGACGCCGCGUGCGGGAUGAAGGCCUUCGGGUUGUAAACCGCUUUCAGCAGGGACGAGGCGAAAGUGACGGUACCUGCAGAAGAAGCCCCGGCUAACUACGUG
rnacentral:rRNA from 1 species